GUGUCAGCAGCCGCGGUAAUACGUAGGGUGCGAGCGUUGUCCGGAAUUAUUGGGCGUAAAGAGCUCGUAGGCGGCUUGUCGCGUCGGAUGUGAAAGCCCGGGGCUUAACUCCGGGUCUGCAUUCGAUACGGGCAGGCUAGAGUUCGGUAGGGGAGAUCGGAAUUCCUGGUGUAGCGGUGAAAUGCGCAGAUAUCAGGAGGAACACCGGUGGCGAAGGCGGAUCUCUGGGCCGAUACUGACGCUGAGGAGCGAAAGCGUGGGGAGCGAACAGGAUUAGAUACCCUGGUAGUCCACGCCGUAAACGUUGGGAACUAGGUGUGGGCGACAUUCCACGUUGUCCGUGCCGCAGCUAACGCAUUAAGUUCCCCGCCUGGGGAGUACGGCCGCAAGGCUAAA
rnacentral:rRNA from 1 species